rnacentral:rRNA from 1 species
AGUAGUUUAGACUCGUCGGCUACAGGAUAGACGCUGGCGGCGUGCCUAAUACAUGCAAGUCGAACGCGGGCACUUGUGCCCGAGUGGCGAACGGGUGAGUAAUACAUAAGUAACCUGGCCUUUACAGGGGGAUAACUGCUGGAAACGGCAGCUAAGACCGCAUAGGUAGGGACACUGCAUGGUGACCGUAUUAAAAGUGCUGCAAGGCACUGGUAGAGGAUGGACUUAUGGCGCAUUAGCUGGUUGGUGAGGUAACGGCUCACCAAGGCGACGAUGCGUAGCCGACCUGAGAGGGUGACCGGCCACACUGGGACUGAGACACGGCCCAGACUCCUACGGGAGGCAGCAGUAGGGAAUUUUCGGCAAUGGGGGGAACCCUGACCGAGCAACGCCGCGUGAAGGAAGAAGGAAUUCGUUCUGUAAACUUCUGUUAUAAAGGAAGAAAGGCGGAUGGAGGAAAUGACAUCCGAGUGACGGUACUUUAUGAGAAAGCCACGGCUAACUACGUA